UGGUGCUAACAAUAGAGACUGGCUGGCAGAACUGAGUGACUGGCUGAAUGUAAAAGGUGAGAAUGCUGUGCAGUGUCAGUGACACUGAACACAGGUCCGGCGCUAGCCGCUCAGCAAAGGGAUGCAGUGCAGGGAGACACCAGGAAGGAGAGGCAUUCUCCCUGCUCUGCAUCCCUUUUGUGAGCUGCUGCUGCUAUCCCUGCUGCCGACUGCUGUCACACAUGCAGCUGCGCCGGAAGCACAAAACCUAUUCUCCCCCUCGGUACCUGCCUCACAAAGCCUCCUCUCCCCCUCGGCGCCGUCAGCACAAAACCUCCUCUCCCCCCUUCCCUCCCCUGUGUGACAUUCAGUGGCUGGGAGGGAGGCAAAGUCGGUGGAGCUAGAUGGGAGUAAGGUGUGGAGCUACACGGUACCAUGCUGCAGCAGGAGGAUGAGCUACUACAGCUUCAGCCAGCCAGACUUCAUUAGAUAAGUGUCUGGAAAAAGAGUGAGUUCAUGUAUAUACAGUGUCUGUGUAUACUGUAUAUAUGUGUGACUGUGUAUGUGUGUAAUGUAUGUAGACUAUGUAUGUUUGUGUGUGUUUGUAUAUAUAUGUGUCUGUUGUGUGUGUAUGUGUGACUGCUGCAUAAUGUUUGUAAGCGUCACUGGUACAGGGGGCGUUACGUGUGUAAGCAACACUGGUACAGGGAGCGUUACGUGUGCAAGCAACACUGGUACAGGGGGUGUUACGUGUGUAAGCGUCACUGGUACAGGGAGCGUUACGUGUGUAUGCAACACUGGUACAGUGGGCGUUACGUGUGUAAGCGGCACCGGUACAGGUUGUGUUACGUGUGUAAGCAACACUGGUACAGAGGGCAUUACAUUUGUAAGUGUCUCUACUACAGCGAACUAAUUCAGCUAGUGAACAACUUGGAAUGACCCCCAUAGGACGCUGCAGUAAAACAAUGUUUUUUCCCUAUCUACAGUGUAGAGACUUGCUGCAGAUACAGUGGCAGACCCUCCAGCUGCACCUUUUUGACAGUCUUCCUCCACAGGGCCAGUGUUGUGCCCCAGAUCCCCCCUUGUUCUUCAAAUUAGUCCCCCACGGCAGCAGUUUAUUCCUUACACUGCACAAGCUCUUAAGAUUUGACUUCUAGACAUACUUUGCAGUAUAAGAUCAAGGCAUGCAAGACUGCAAUAUGUAUUGAAUAUCAAACUUCGAAAAAUGUUACAGCACAUUUGAAAUGUCAAUGAGAUGAAAGCAUGGUGAUACAAACCCCACCAAAUGCUAUUCCCAGCAGCCUAGAAAAGGGGGACAGAGCUUGUUGAUGCAGUGAUUUCCUUUUGUCCACUUUGAUCUAGUGUGGUUUGUAUUAUAUAAUCAGGCUAUAUUUAAGUUGGCUAAAGGUCCUGGACUAAUUCAGUUAUCUACUUUCUUUUUUACUAAAUACGGGGCUGUACAACACUAAAAAAUGAAUUAUUUAGUGCAUUCUGUGCACAAAAACUUCUUUUUUGUAGUAACCCUUUUAUCAUUUUUCUGUACACCAGCACAGGAAAAAUGCAGCCACAGUUUACACUGAUGACACUGAAUCAUGUCUUCAUCUGUCAAAUAAAAGUUACAUGUACAAUGAAGUGUCAUCUUAACUUUUUUCUUUUUUUGCUUUGAUUUGAAAUGUGUGUGUGGAAACAUUUCGAUUUUUUCAUUUUCAAGGCAUUUUAUGAGAUGCUUCCUCAUCUGAUCUUGCUCAAAUUUGAUUGUAGACAAUUUGAAACAAUUUGCAAGAGCUACACAGUUUGCUAACGCAAACAGACCACAGUCAUUGAUUCCCAUCUGUUUCUGGCAGCACCUAAAAUUAAUAUCAAGCACUUGAUUAACCCCAUCAAACAGUGGCAAAUAUAACUGUUUGAGCUGUUUUUUUAGUGUAUCUGGGACACCUGAAAAAGUUAAGGAAUCGUAAACAGUAACUGUAUUCCUAACUCUUUGAGAUGUGACCCAGUGUGCCCCAAGAUGGUGAAUUUGAAGCACCUGGUCACUAUCACAAGCAGUACCUGAAUUUUGUGCAAGGAUCAGGGUAUCAAUGAAACCUGCAUAUGAAGGAUGGCUCUGUGAGAUCAAGUACUGACAAACAUUUAUUAUAUUGUCAUCAAGCCAUGCUCCACUGCUUAUUUCCUCUCUAUCUUGGUAUGUCAGCUUGAUGCCAUUUAUGGUCAA